rnacentral:rRNA from 1 species
AUUGAACGCUGGCGGCAGGCUUAACACAUGCAAGUCGAGCGGGGUGAUGGUGCUUGCACUAUCACUCAGCGGCGGACGGGUGAGUAACGCUUAGGAAUCUGCCUAUUAGUGGGGGACAACAUCUCGAAAGGGACGCUAAUACCGCAUACGUCCUACGGGAGAAAGCCGGGGAUCACUUGUGACCUUUCGCUAAUAGAUGAGCCUAAGUCGGAUUAGCUAGUUGGUGGGGUAAAGGCCUACCAAGGCGACGAUCUGUAGCGGGUCUGAGAGGAUGAUCCGCCACACUGGGACUGAGACACGGCCCAGACUCCUACGGGAGGCAGCAGUGGGGAAUAUUGGACAAUGGGGGAACCCUGAUCCAGCCAUGCCGCGUGUGUGAAGAAGGCCUUAUGGUUGUAAAGCACUUUAAGCGAGGAGGAGGCUCUUUUGGUUAAUACCCAAGAUGAGUGGACGUUACUCGCAGAAUAAGCACCGGCUAACUCUGUGCCAGCCGCCGCUGUAA